UUCGCUCUUCCAACUCUGCCCUUGGUCGCCGGCCACUAUAGAUAUAUAUAUCUCGAUCCCCUCCUCCUCCUCCUCCUCCUCCUCCUCCCCAAUCGGCAACUAAACAAACUCGAUCCCAUGGCGACUACAUUACAGAACUACUACAACUGCCGUCGUAAUUCCUUGUUUCAGAUCGCCUCCUUUCUGGUCUGCUUGCUGCUCUUGUUCUUCCUACCAGGUAGCCACGCGAGUCGGGGCCCUUCAGGCUGCAGCAAACCACCGGCUACUUGCAAUCCGAUGCCUCCAGUGUCUAUUCCAAAACCGCCACCCCCAUAGAUCUGCAUGUAUGCAUGUGUAUUAAUUUUCUGGCUAGCUACUGCAAGGAGGACAGCUCUCCAAGUAGGAGAAGAGUGAGAGGUGAUAUAUAGAGAUCAAACAUAUAUAAUAAACAUUAAUUGGGAUGAUAGUUUGUAAUUGAUUUUCUAUGCUAUCGAUGUAAUUCCUAAGCAUUCCUCUGUACUGCAUAUUUGUUGGUAUAAUGGAAAAGA